rnacentral:misc_RNA from 1 species
AAGUCGUAGCAAGGUUUCCGUAGGUGAACCUGCGGAAGGAUCAUUAAUAGUAUAUGGAAUCUCCAUUCUAUUAAACCCACUCUGUGUAUCUUGUAACUGUUGCUUUCCAUGGGACUUGGUACCUGCCACACCGGCUUCACGGCUGGUUGAGCGCCCAAUGGGAGGAGAAACAAAACUCUUCUUUGAAAUGUAGUCAGUCUGAACAAGUUUUUUAUAAACGUUAAAA